rnacentral:rRNA from 1 species
AUCCUACGGGGGGCAGCAGUGAGGAAUAUUGGUCAAUGGGCGCGAGCCUGAACCAGCCAAGUCGCGUGAAGGAUGACUGCCCUACGGGUUGUAAACUUCUUUUAUAAAGGAAUAAAGUGAGGCACGUGUGCCUUUUUGUAUGUACUUUAUGAAUAAGGAUCGGCUAACUCCGCGCCAGCAGCCGCGGUAAUACGGAGGAUGCGAGCGUUAUCCGGAUUUAUUGGGUUUAAAGGGUGCGCAGGCGGCGAGUUAAGUCAGCGGUAAAAUUUCGGGGCUCAACCCCGCCAAGCCGUUGAAACUGGCUU